CAGCAGUAGCCGCGGGAAUACGUAGGUGGCAAGCGUUGUCCGGAAUUAUUGGGCGUAAAGCGCGCGUAGGUGGUUUAAUAAGUCUGAUGUGAAAGCCCACGGCUCAACCGUGGAGGGUCAUUGGAAACUGUUAAACUUGAGUGCAGGAGAGAAAAGUGGAAUUCCUAGUGUAGCGGUGAAAUGCGUAGAGAUUAGGAGGAACACCGGUGGCGAAAGCGGCUCUCUGGUCUGUCACUGACGCUGAGGCUCGAAAGCGUGGGUAGCGAGCAGGAUUAGAUACCCGAGUAGUCCCUGUCUCUUAUAA
rnacentral:rRNA from 1 species